rnacentral:ncRNA from 2 species
AGACGUUCUCGGGGCGGGGUGAAACUCCCCACCGGCGGUAUUGAUGGAUUUCGGUCUAUCUGAGCCCGCGAGCGCCUUCCUCCUUAUAUGGAAGAAGGGUCAAGCAGAUCUGGUGAGACUCCAGAGCCGACGGUCAUAGUCCGGAUGAGAGAGAAUGCAG